GGUCCCGUGGUGUAGCGGUUAACAUGCCUGCCUGUCACGCAGGAGAUCGCGGGUUCGAUUCCGUCGGGACCGCCA
rnacentral:tRNA from 1 species